UACAGAGGUGGCAAGCGUUGUUCGGAAUUACUGGGCGUAAAGGGCGCGUAGGCGGCUUGGUCAGUCCCGUGUGAAAUCCCUCGGCUCAACUGAGGAACUGCACGGGAAACUGCCUGGCUUGAGUUCGGGAGAGGGAAGCGGAAUUCCGGGUGUAGCGGUGAAAUGCGUAGAUAUCCGGAGGAACGCCGGUGGCGAAGGCGGCUUCCUGGACCGACACUGACGCUGAGGCGCGAAAGCUAGGGGAGCAAACGGG
rnacentral:rRNA from 1 species